GACGAACGCUGGCGGCGCGCUUAACACAUACAAGUCGAGCGAGAACCAGGGCUUCGGCCCUGGGGACAGCGGCGAACGGGUGAGUAACACGUGGAUAACCUGCCCUCGGCACCGGGAUAGCCCGGGGAAACCCGGAUUAAUACCGGAUGGCCCUUCCGGCUCACGAGCCGGUCGGAACAGGUAGCUUCGGCCUCCGGCCGCGGCGGGGCGCGCGGCGGCUUAGCUUGUUGGUGGGGUAACGGCCCACCAAGGCUCCGAUCCGUAGCUGGUCUGAGAGGACGAUCAGCCACACUGGGACUGAGACACGGCCCAGACUCCUACGGGAGGCAGCAGUGGGGAAUCUUGCGCAAUGGGCGAAAGCCUGACGCAGCGACGCCGCGUGAGGGAGGAAGGCCUUCGGGUCGUAAACCUCUUUCAGGAGGGACGAAGCUACUCGGGUGAAUAGCCCAGAGGGUGACGGUACCUCCAGAAGAAGCCCCGGCUAACUACGUGCCAGCCGCCGCGGUAA
rnacentral:rRNA from 1 species